rnacentral:lncRNA from 1 species
GGGCGAUGGUCGCGGCCCCCACGGAAGGCAGUCUUUCUACCUUUUUUGCUUCCAGACUCACUGACAUAAAAUGAGAAAUACAACGUUUGACAACUCGAAGCCAGCCUGGGGUCACAUUCCGGCAAACAGUGGGAACCAGCAAAGCCAAGGACAGAGAGGUCUUCAGGGAAUACAUGGCUAUGGUGGUUUGAAGACUCCCAUUAGAGAGUGGAUAUUAAUUGCCCUCCUUUUGAAUAUGGUCUGGACUUAGUGAUUUGAUUGUAACAAAUAGAAUACAGCAGAUGUGAUGCUAUGUGACUUCCAAACCUAGGUCAUAAAAGGAGAUAAAGUUUUCACCUGGCUCUCCCUUGCGACACUCACCCUUGGAACCCAGCUGCCAUAUUGUGAGGAAGCUCAAGCCACAGGGAAGUUUUCACCUGGCUCUCCCUUGGGACACUCACCCUUGGAACCCAGCUGCCAUAUUGUGAGGAAGCUCAAGCCACAGGGAAGGCCAUGUGUAGGUGUUUGGGUUGAUGGUGCCAGCUGAGGACCCGGUCUACUGCCAGUACAACUUAUACCAAGCAUGUGAGUUGGCGAGCUUUUGAAAGAACUCCAGCCACAGUCACUGACCACGCUGCCUGAGAGACCUAGAGAGAAAACCUAGCUGAGCCAAAUCAGGCCCCGGAAACGUAAGUGAUAAUAAUAAAAGAUUGUCAUCUGGGUGGUGGUUACAUAGCAAUAGACACCUAGAACAGUGACAGAGCUGGAAUUUGAACCCAGACAGUCUGACUCUAUAGUCUUCACUAUCAAGCACACUACCUCAGACCUUGAUAACCUAGCAUAAUGAAAACCCUG